UCUCAAAUAUUGUUUUUUGAGUACAAAUUAAAUGAAAAAACGUUUUAACAAAAAGUUCAACAAUUUUGAAAAGUUCUUUUCCUACGAUUGUUGAGGUUAAAGUUCUAGUCAGAACUCACGUAGAGUACGUCCCAAAACUACCUUGAAAAUUUUCCCUGAAAUACUUCGGUGUUAUUCCUUGAAAAUCAUUGUUAAAUCUCCUCAAAUUUGCAAAUAAUAUUUUAAUGUUUCUUCUAAGUGAUUUUAUCCCAUGGGGUAGGUCACUCCGCAAACCAAUCUUGGGUCAUCUUUUUUGUCAGUGUGCUGCAAGUAUGCUGAUUGUGCCGGUCAUACACUCAAAAUAAUCGACACGUUAUUGUUAUGUGAAAAAUCAGGUGGAGUCUCUCUUUUCAAUUUUAUGAUAAAUUUACGUGACACAAGUAGAGUCUACUCACAAGGUUUUUUUUUAAUGGAACGCACGUGAUUUGCACAUACACAAAUUUUCACGUAUGAAAAAAUAAAUGAGUGCCUCACUCAUAAUGGUACACAAUAUGGUGGAAUUGCAAGUUGCAUGUUUACAUGCCAGUUAAAAUCUUAGGGCUUAUUUUCGUAAGACGAUUUCGUGUUGUAAGUAUAAUGGCUGAACAUUUUAUCACAGACAAAUUGUAUGGUGAGAAUAAUUUGUAACAUGUUUCUUUGUUUUAGUCUGACGACAAGGAGUACCAUGGAUUUAAAUGCGUUCCAUAUCCUUCCCGAGUUCAGUUUCGCCCGAAUUAAUUUCUUCUUCUGUGUGCAUAUUUGCCACAAUAAAGAUACAAUGCCCAAGAAAUACGUCAGGAUCUUUUUUCAUUUGAAAUC